CAGUUGUCCCUUUUGCCCUGUCCUCCCCUGCCUGGUAAUGCUGUAGGUCCCUCCUGUGUGACGGGCGAGCUGCUGUUACAGGUGUCGUUGCACUGUUUGUCUGCUGAACGUGGAAGAGAUCCUGGCACAGCUCCUGCGUGGACGCUCAGAUGCCUCAAGUUUUCCUGUUGCCUUUCACUACGGAAAGACACCUCCCGGGAAGCUCUCGGGAUCGGAGAUCUUCCGGCACUUGAUGUUAUUUUUGGUUGCCCAGUUUCCGGUGCUGGGCUGGAAUUGUUUGGAAGUAACUCCGGUCGUAUCCAGUCAGUCUCCUCAUGGGACUGUUUUGAGAAGUGUCCCGUUCUGUGCCUUGCCUUUUGAGUCCUGGCUUUACUCUAGGGACUGUCAUGUUGGAUGAGGUUGGAAUCAUUGUAAUUAGUCCAUAAUGUUACAAUUAGAGUGUACAGAAUUAUUUAUUUGGUGUACUCAGUCUGCUAAAACAUGUCCAUGUAUUCUGUGUACCCCGUGGCUCUGCUGUCGUUACUUCUGCCUCCUGGAUCACCCGUGGGCUCACUGCUGGGAAUGAUGGUCAGUAAACACAUGGAAAGCCAGGACCUGCUCACCUCUCCAACAUGUUCUUGGGUCACAGCAAGAAGGUAAAUAGUUUGCUGAUUUGUCGCAGCAGCUACCCGAGGGAGACCUUGUGCAGGGCUGGGAUGUCCAUGGGAUGCUCUGGGUGACAGCCUGCUGCUGGAAGGCAGGGUUGGGAGGCUUAACAGGCACUUUGGGACAUUGUCUUCACUUUUCUUUGGCUGCAGGGUGGUAAACUGGGCCAGAGAAAUGCUCUGGUUUGCACACAACCACUUGUCACCUCUACAGUUUCACUCUGAGCAAAACCUGUAAUAUCAAAUGAUCAGUGCACACCCCUCUUGAGCCACCUCCUCCUGGAAAGGAGGGGAUUUUUCAGGGGCAGGGGACCCUGUCCCCAGGGUGGAAGGGCUGACAGUGACCUGAGCACACGGAGCAGAUGACCCAUAGUGCUGCAAUUGUUCAAUUCCUGUUUGAAGCUCCUUGUAGCCACCAGUUUCCUCUGCCCACAUGGCCCAUUCCCACAUCUCUGACAUUCACCUGACUUUAAGGUCAGUUAGGAAUUCC
rnacentral:lncRNA from 1 species